rnacentral:rRNA from 1 species
AGUCUAUGCUCACCUCGUGAGCAUGGCGUACGGCUCAGUAACACGUCCCUAACCUGCCCUAGAGAGGGGGAUAUCCUCGGGAAACUGAGGGUAAACCCCCAUAGGUAACGAGUUCUGGAAUGACUCGUUACCGAAAGUAGGCUAGGAGAAUGGUCCUAGCCUAGCUCUAGGAUGGGGCUGCGGCCGAUCAGGUAGUUGGUGAGGUAACGGCUCACCAAGCCUGUGACCGGUGCGGGCCGUGAGAGCGGGAGCCCGGAGAUGGACUCUGAGACAAGAGUCCAGGCCCUACGGGGCGCAGCAGGCGCGAAACCUCCGCAAUGCGCGCAAGCGCGACGGGGUCACCCCGAGUGCCACCUUUAUGGUGGCUUUUGCCUAGUGUAAAAAGCUAGGCGAAUAAGGGGGGGGCAAGACGGGUGUCAGCCGCCGCGGUAAUACCCGCUCCCCGAGUGGUGGGGACUUUUAUUGGGCUUAAAGCGUCCGUAGCGGGCCUAGUAAGUUUCCCGUUAAAUCCAGUGGCCUAACCACUGGGCUGCGGGAAAUACUGCUAGGCUUGGGGGUGGAAGAGGCCACCGGUACUCCUAGGGUAGGGGUAAAAUCCUCUGAUCCUAGGAGGACCACCAGUGGCGAAGGCGGGUGGCCAGGACACGCCCGACCGUGAGGGACGAAAGCUGGGGGAGCAAACGGGAUUAGAUACCCCGGUAGUCCCAGCUGUAAACGAUGCAGACUAGGUGGUAGGAAGUGGCNNUACGG